GAUGUUUCAGGUGCCGUCGUGCACGAGCAAACAUGAGCUGACCAGCAGAGUGGCCAUCGCACAUGUGCUCAACAAAGUAGAUUCAUCCUGGUUUAAUGAGACGUGGCUCAGCAGGAUAAAAGAGGAUGGUGGCACAAACUGGAGGCUGAAGGUCAGCAACCUCAAGAAGAUCCUGCAGGGCAUGAUGGAGUAUUAUCAUGACGU